rnacentral:rRNA from 1 species
CCUACGGGCGGUAGCAGUGGGGAAUAUUGGACAAUGGGGGCAACCCUGAUCCAGCCAUGCCGCGUGUAUGAAGAAGGCCCUCGGGUUGUAAAGCACUUUCAGUGAGGAAGAACGCCUGGUGGUUAAUACCCAUCAGGAAAGACAUCACUCACAGAAGAAGCACCGGCUAACUCCGUGCCAGCAGCCGCGGUAAUACGGAGGGUGCGAGCGUUAAUCGGAAUUACUGGGCGUAAAGCGCGCGUAGGUGGCUUGAUAAGCCGGUUGUGAAAGCCCCGGGCUCAACCUGGGAACGGCAUCCGGAACUGUCAAGCUAGAGUGCAGGAGAGGAAGGUAGAAUUCCCGGUGUAGCGGUGAAAUGCGUAGAGAUCGGGAGGAAUACCAGUGGCGAAGGCGGCCUUCUGGACUGACACUGACACUGAGGUGCGAAAGCGUGGGUAGCAAACAGGAUUAGAUACCCUGGUAGUC